UACGUAGGGUGCAAGCGUUAAUCGGAAUUACUGGGCGUAAAGCGCGCGUAGGCGGCUUUGCAAGUCGGGUGUGAAAUCCCCAGGCUUAACCUGGGAACUGCAUUCGAGACUGCAUUACUAGAGUAUGGGAGAGGGAAGUGGAAUUUCCGGUGUAGCGGUGAAAUGCGUAGAUAUCGGGAGGAACACCGGUGGCGAAGGCGGUUCUCUGGGCAUGUCCUGACGCUGAGGAGCGAAAGUGUGGGGAGCGAACAGG
rnacentral:rRNA from 1 species